AUUGAACGCUGGCGGCAGGCCUAACACAUGCAAGUCGAGCGAGCGGCGGACGGGUGAGUAAUGUAUGGGGACUGCCCGAUCGAGGGGGAUAACUACUGGAAACGGUAGCUAAUACCGAAUACUAUCGGAUAACCCAUAUGGGAUUAGCUAGUAGGUGAGGUAAUGGCUCACCUAGGCGACGAUCCCUAGCUGGUCUGCGAGGAUGAUCAGCCACACUGGGACUGAGACACGGCCCAGAAUCCUACGGAGGCAGAAGUGGGGAAUAUUGCAUAAUGGGCGAAAGCCUGAUGCAGCCAUGACGGGUGUAUGAAGAAGGCCCGAGGGUUGUAAAGUACGUUCAGUCGGGAAGCGUUACCGACAGAAGAAGCACCGGCUAACUCCGUGCCAGCAGACGCGGUAAUUG
rnacentral:rRNA from 1 species